rnacentral:tRNA from 1 species
GCCUGGCUGGCUCAGUAGAGCAUGUGACUCUUGAUCUUGGGGCUGUGAGUUUGAGCCCCAUGUUGGGCA